rnacentral:lncRNA from 1 species
GAAGUGUGUUUGGUCGAUCUAAACAUCAGGAGCGAACAGGAGCUUCCCCACCAAACCCUAACUUGUGCAAAUUGAUCAAAUUGGGGCUUCAAAUCAGUUCCAAAUCGAUUUCCAAGCACGAAAUUGUCAUCUCCAUUGAAAGGGGAGUCAUAAGUUUGAUCUCGUCAAACUAAGUGGGAGCUGGAAAGGAAUGGAUCAAACGGGUCAAGUGCGCAAGGAAAGCUCGAACGGACGCAAACUGAACGAAUAGAAAUUUGGAUAAUUACAUCAUCAUAGAAUAUUGAAUUAAUAAUAGCAAGGCAUAAACGGGUCUAUACGUUGACUCGAGCCAGGUACAUUUUGGAUGCCGGAAGACGAUCAAGCUCAACGAAGAACCGAACACGAAUAAGAUAAAAGCUUCCGCACGUCGUUUCGUCGUAACUUUUAAACGACGAACUCAAUUAUGUUAUGUUGUAUU